AAAAUAAAGCACAUGGUGAUUAGAAGAUAAACACAAGGAAAAAAGGGAGCCAUGCAGCCUUCCAUGUAUGUGCACUGCACCCAACAGCCUAUUCAGGGGCAAUUCUACCGUUGGCCGGCCUGUAGAGGAAACUAACCAUGCGUUGUAUCUCACAACUUUUACAAAAAAUGUACAGUAGCCCCUAUAUCCGCAGGGCAUAUGUUCCAAGACCUCCCCCCUGUGGAUGCCUAAAACUGGGUAGGUAGUACUGAACCCUAUAUACACUGUGUAUUUUUCCUAUAUGUACUUUCUUAUGAUAAAGUUUAAUUUAUAAAUUAGGCAUAGUGGAAGGUUAACAAUAACUAACAAUAAAAUACAACAAAUGUAACAAUAUGUCAGCAUCACUACUCUUGUGUUUUGGGGCCAUUAUUAAGUAAAAUAAGGAUUCCUGGAACGCAAGCACUGAGGUUCUGUGAGGUUGCUCUGAUAACCAAGAGGGCUCCUGAUGGUUACAGGUGGGCAGUGCGGCAGUGUGGAGACCCUGGACAAAGGGAUGAUUCACGGCCUGGGCAGGAUUGAGGAGGACAAGGCAAGAUUUCAUCCUGCUACUCAGAAUGAAUCCUGCUCGUUGGAUUGAAGAGACAGCUCAUUUUGAGACAGCUCAUUUAACUUCAGUUCAGUUUGACAAAUAUAUUAUACGACUUGCUACAAACCAAGCAUCUGACAGUUUUUAAGAUGCCAAGAUGAUCCUUAGCAUUGAGAAUGAAAUAAUUAACUGAAAAUGUAAUCAAUUGUACCAAAAGGGAGUUUCCUUCUUUAAAACAUGAGAGUAUUCUGGCCACCAGAAGCAUAAGAUCACCACCAGUGCCCAUGAAAUUGGCAUUUUAGAUCAUACGUCAGUCCCUGCAGUUCUUCUCAGCUAGCAUCGCUGGGUUCUGGUCUCAUAAAUGACUCAGACACCCCUGGAAGAUGCAACCACCUCAGGGGGUGCCCCCAAGAUAGCGUCUACCCAACUUAACCAUUUCUUUAUUUUUUUUAAAUUAAAAAAUAUUUUAUGCUAGCA